rnacentral:rRNA from 1 species
UACGUAGGGUGCAAGCGUUGUCCGGAAUUAUUGGGCGUAAAGAGCUCGUAGGCGGUCUGUCACGUCGGCUGUGAAAACCCGAGGCUCAACCUCGGGACCUGCAGUCGAUACGGGCAGACUAGAGUUCGGUAGGGGGAGACUGGAAUUCCUGGUGUAGCGGUGAAAUGCGCAGAUAUCAGGAGGAACACCGGUGGCGAAGGCGGUUCUCUGGGCAUUACCUGACGCUGAGGAGCGAAAGUGUGGGGAGCGAACAGG